ensembl:snoRNA
ACCUUCCAGUUUCCUUUCCCAUGAGAACAAAACAUUGGUCUGAGAGGUUAUAAAAGAAGGAAAAGUAAAAUUGAAACAGACUUCAAUUCUUUUGUAACACGUGAGCUAGUUUCAAACAAAG